rnacentral:rRNA from 1 species
GAUGAACGCUGGCGGCGUGCUUAACACAUGCAAGUCGAACGGUGAACCCGGAGCUUGCUCUGUGGGAUCAGUGGCGAACGGGUGAGUAACACGUGAGCAACCUGCCCCUGACUCUGGGAUAAGCGCUGGAAACGGCGUCUAAUACUGGAUAUGUGACGUGACCGCAUGGUCUGCGUUUGGAAAGAUUUUUCGGUGGGGGAUGGGUUCGCGGCCUAUCAGCUUGUUGGUGAGGUAAUGGCUCACCAAGGCGUCGACGGGUAGCCGGCCUGAGAGGGUGACCGGCCACAAUGGGACUGAGACACGGCCCAGACUCCUACGGGAGGCAGCAGUGGGGAAUAUUGCACAAUGGGCGCAAGCCUGAUGCAGCAACGCCGCGUGAGGGAUGACGGCCUUCGGGUUGUAAACCUCUUUUAGCAGGGAAGAAGCGAAAGUGACGGUACCUGCAGAAAAAGCGCCGGCUAACUACGUG